rnacentral:misc_RNA from 1 species
UCUAGGGAAUCCGGGCAUCGACCCGGUAGGCCGCUCGGCUCGUUGACGGAUCUCGUCCGAUGACCGAGCUCGCCUAGAAGAACGUCGACCUCGAGAGAGGCACGCCGGCAGGCCUACGGGCCCCGGCGCUGCUGGACGUCACGCUGUUGAGUUUUGAGAGACCGUCCCGACGGGGCGGCGUUCUCGCUGCGGUCGCGUGGACCGCGCGCACCUUGAAAACUCCAUAACAGCAGUCACAUAAAAGGUGUUCUUCACGAUCAAGAGAUCAAGAGCACACGGUGGAUGCCUUGGCGCCAAGAGCCGAAGAAGGACGUGGGCGGCUGCGAUAAGCCUGGGGGAGGUGCUGACCGACCUUUGAUCCCAGGAUCU